UUCUUAUCCAGAGAGAUGGAGGGACUAGGCCCAAUGAUAUCUCGGCAACAGAUUCAUUUAUGAAAACUGUGCCAAUUCCUACAAGUGCGAUAUGCAUUUGAAAGAUGAGAA
rnacentral:ncRNA from 2 species